AAGGCACCUAACCAAGCAUCCAUAUUUUUUUACGCAAUGGGAGUGAGGAUGUCCUGUGUGGUCAGAUG